CCUACGGGAGGCAGCAGUGGGGAAUCUUCCGCAAUGGGCGAAAGCCUGACGGAGCAACGCCGCGUGAGUGAAGAAGGCCUUCGGGUUGUAAAACUCUGUCAUCAGGGAAGAAGAAAGUGACGGUACCUGAGGAGGAAGCCCCGGCUAACUACGUGCCAGCAGCCGCGGUAAAACGUAGGGGGCGAGCGUUGUCCGGAAUUACUGGGCGUAAAGGGCGCGUAGGCGGUUAUCCAAGUCAGGGGUGAAAACCUUGGGCUCAACCCAGGGCCUGCCUCUGAAACUGGGUGACUUGAGGGCAGGAGAGGGGAGUGGAAUUCCCAGUGUAGCGGUGAAAUGCGUAGAUAUUGGGAGGAACACCAGUGGCGAAGGCGGCUCUCUGGCCUGUUACUGACGCUGAGGCGCGAAAGCGUGGGGAUCAAACAGGAUUAGAUACCCUGGUAGUCCACGCCGUAAACGAUGGGUGCUAGGUGUAGGAGGUAUCGACCCCUUCUGUGCCGUAGUUAACACAAUAAGCACCCCGCCUGGGGAGUACGGCCGCAAGGUUGAAACUCAAAGGAAUUGACGGGGGCCCGCACAAGCGGUGGAGCAUGUGGUUUAAUUCGACGCAACGCGAAGAACCUUACCAGGGUUUGACAUCCCCUGACAGCCUAUGAAAGUAGGUUUUCUAUCUUCGGAUAGACAGGGAGACAGGUGGUGCAUGGUUGUCGUCAGCUCGUGUCGUGAGAUGUUGGGUUAAGUCCCGCAACGAGCGCAACCCUCACGUUUAGUUGCCAGCGGGUGAGGCCGGGCACUCUAAACGAACUGCCGUUGACAAAACGGAGGAAGGUGGGGAUGACGUCAAAUCAUCAUGCCCCUUAUAUCCUGGGCUACACACGUGCUACAAUGGCCGGUACAAAGGGAAGCGAAGCUGUGAGGCGGAGCGGAUCCCAAAAAGCCGGUCUCAGUUCGGAUUGCAGGCUGCAACUCGCCUGCAUGAAGUCGGAAUCGCUAGUAAUCGCAGGUCAGCAUACUGCGGUGAAUACGUUCCCGGGCCUUGUACACACCGCCCGUCACACCACGAAAGCUGACAACACCCGAAGCCGGUGACUUAACCCGCAAGGGAGAGAGCCGUCGAAGGUGGGGUUGGUGAUUGGGGUGAAGUCGUAACAAGGUAACC
rnacentral:rRNA from 1 species